AACGAAACGCUGGCGGCAGGGCUUAACACAUUGCAAAGUCGAACGCCCCGCAAGGGGAGUGGCAGACGGGUGAGUAACGCGUGGGAACGUGCCUUUCGGUUCGGAACAGACCCGGGAAAACUGGGAUUAAUACCGGAUACGUCCUUAGGGGAGAAAGAUUUAUCGCCGAAAGAUCGGCCCGCGUCUGAUUAGCUAGUUGGCGGGGUAAUGGCCCACCAAGGCGACGAUCAGUAGCUGGUCUGAGAGGAUGAUCAGCCACACUGGGACUGAGACACGGCCCAGACUCCUACGGGAGGCAGCAGUGGGGAAUAUUGGACAAUGGGCGCAAGCCUGAUCCAGCCAUGCCGCGUGAGUGAUGAAGGCCUUAGGGUUGUAAAGCUCUUUCGGCGGGACGAUAAUG
rnacentral:rRNA from 1 species